CCUACGGGAGGCUGCAGUGAGGAAUAUUGGUCAAUGGCCGGAAGGCUGAACCAGCCAUGCCGCGUGAAGGUCAGUGCCCUAUGGGCGUUAAACUUCUUUUAUAAGGGAAUAAAGUGCGGGACGUGUCCCGUUUUGUAUGUACCUUAUGAAUAAGGAUCGGCUAACUCCGUGCCAGCAGCCGCGGUAAUACGGAGGAUCCGAGCGUUAUCCGGAUUUAUUGGGUUUAAAUGGUGCGUAGGCGGCCUUUUAAGUCAGCGGUGAAAGUCUGUGGCUCAACCAUAGAAUUGCCGUUGAAACUGGGAGGCUUGAGUAUGUUUGAGGCAGGCGGAAUGCGUGGUGUAGCGGUGAAAUGCUUAGAUAUCACGCAGAACCCCGAUUGCGAAGGCAGCCUGCCAAGCCAUGACUGACGCUGAUGCACGAAAGCGUGGGGAUCAAACAGGAUUAGAUACCCGUGUAGUC
rnacentral:rRNA from 1 species